AACCCUUUGUGAACUUAUACCUACAUCGUUGCCUCGGCGCUGGCUGCCCCUCCCGCUUCUGGGAGGGGGCCCCCUACCCGGACGUAAAACACCCGGGCGGAGGACAGCAGGCCCGCCGGCGGCCUACUUAACUCUUGUUUUUACCGAGUAAUAUCUGAGUAAAGCUUCUAAAUAAAUUAAAACUUUCAACAACGGAUCUCUUGGUUCUGGCAUCGAUGAAGAACGCAGCGAAAUGCGAUAAGUAAUGUGAAUUGCAGAAUUCAGUGAAUCAUCGAAUCUUUGAACGCACAUUGCGCCCUCUGGUAUUCCAGAGGGCAUGCCUGUUCGAGCGUCAUUUCAACCCUCAAGCCUAGCUUGGUGUUGGGGCAUUACCUUCCCUCACGGGGGGUAAGCCCUGAAAUUCAGUGGCGAGCUCGCCAGGACUCCGAGCGUAGUAGUAAAACCCUCGCUUUGGACUGUACUGGCGCGGCCCUGCCGUAAAACCCCCAAC
rnacentral:rRNA from 1 species